rnacentral:rRNA from 1 species
UACGUAGGGGCCUAGCGUUGUCCGGAAUUACUGGGCGUAAAGAGCUCGUAGGUGGUUUGUCGCGUUGUUCGUGAAAACUCACAGCUUAACUGUGGGCGUGCGGGCGAUACGGGCAGACUUGAGUACUGCAGGGGAGACUGGAAUUCCUGGUGUAGCGGUGGAAUGCGCAGAUAUCAGGAGGAACACCGGUGGCGAAGGCGGGUCUCUGGGCAGUAACUGACGCUGAGGAGCGAAAGCGUGGGGAGCGAACAGG